AACGUAGGAGGCGAGCGUUAUCCGGAUUUACUGGGUGUAAAGCGCGAGCAGGCGGUUCUGUAAGUGGUGUGUGAAAGCGCUCAGGCUCAACCGGGCGAGGACGCGCCAGACUGCAGGGCUGGAGGUAGGUAGAGGCGAGUGGAAUUCCGGGUGUAGUGGUGAAAUGCGUAGAGAUCCGGAGGAACACCAGUGGCGAAGGCGACUCGCUGGGCCUGACCUGACGCUCAGACGCGAAAGCAUGGGGAGCGAACGGG
rnacentral:rRNA from 1 species